AUGGAAGUGACGAUACUUUCCCCAAACGAUCGACGCUGAUUAUACUAUGCUGGUGUUUGCAACACCUUUUAUCUGAUCCAU
rfam:Cucumis sativus cultivar 9930 chromosome 5, whole genome shotgun sequence.